rnacentral:rRNA from 1 species
GGUUUUUUGAGUAUAAUUUAAAAUCUGACCUGCCCUAUGAUUAUUUUAAAUGGCCGCAGUAUCUUGACUGUGCGAAGGUAGCAUGAUCAUUAGCCUCUUAAUUAGGGGCUUGUAUGAAUGGUUUGACGAGAAAAAUGCUGUCUCAUCUUUAAAAAUAGAAUUUUAAUUUUGAGUGAAAAUGCUUAAAUUUUUUUGAGGGACGAGAAGACCCUAUAGAGUUUUAUAAAAUUUUAUUAUAGAUGUUAGGGUGUAUAUUUUUAUAAUAAGGUUUUUAUUUUGUUGGGGUGAUGGGAAAAUUCAAGGAACUUUUCUUUUUAAUUAAUACUUUUGUGUAUAUUAAUGAUCCACUAUUUGUGAUUAUAAGAUUAAAUUACCUUAGGGAUAACAGCGUUAUUUUUCUUUAGAGUUCUCAUUAAAAGAAAAGUUUGCGACCUCGAUGUUGGAUUAAAAUUACAGUACGGCGCAGUAGCUGUAUAUGUAGGUCUGUUCGACCUUUAAAGUUUUACA